CCUGUGGGAAGAAGCACGGUCAGCCAAAAGUGCAAUCUUCAAGCAGCACAGCUAUGGGACAGACUGGCCUUUCUAAGACAAUCCUGUUUUUGUUCACAACCCUCACCUAUGGCCUCAGCUAUCUGUAACCCCAAAGUUCUCCCCCAGAUCCCCGUUUUGGUUUGUCGAGACAGGGUUUCUCUGUAGACAGCAGACUAUUCUGGAACGAGAUCAAUAGACCAGGCUGGCCUCAAACUCACAGGGAUCUAUCUGCCCGUCUCUGCCUUCUGGGUGCUAGCAUUAAAUGUGACUGCUACCCUGCUGGUCCCUCAUUAUGAAAGACAGUGUCUCUAGGGACCCACAAUUGCUCAGACUAGAGGUGGUCCCUUUGAAGGGACUCAUCCCCUGUCAGUAAUACAUAUUCUGACUGUCCCCUCUCUGGCCAAUUCCCAAGGACUACAUGCUGACCCCAAAGGACCAAAAGUCACCACAGCCAUUCAGAUUUGUAAAUCAUACAAAGAAUCAAGGGAAGCACCAAGCCGGGUGUUCAGCAUGCAAUCCCAGAAACACAGCAGGAAAAGGGCACGAGAUCUAAAAGAGACACUAACUGAGGCUCUGGAACAACUUCCCAGAGGACAGACAAGCCCCACAACAUUCUGAAGAAUGUGCAGGACAGAAGGCACAAUACACCAGCUGAGGUGACAAGAUAGCAAGGAUCGACGCGCAGAGUGAGGGCUCUUCAGGGUCAGGAAGGUGGCCACUAAAAGCUGAGCUUCCUUCUGUUUUUCAAGACAGGGUCUCCCACACAGCUCUGGCUUCCUGGAACUCACUAUGUAGACCGAACCAACGUGGAACCCAGCAAAUUCACCUGCCUCUGCCUCCAAACUGCUGGGAUUAAAGAUGUGUGCUACCAAACCUGACCCUGAAUUUCCUUCUUUUAAAGAGAGUGGGAAGUUCAGGCAGAGCUAAAGAAAAGGGACAGCUACUGAAAAAACGUUUCUGUUCUUUAUGAACUCACUUCCAAAGAGGGGAGGAAAAGUUUAUAAAUGAUCUCAAUAGUACAGGGAAAAGCAUUGCAGGGCACCACAUCUAGCCAGUGGCCAGUGAAGACCUCGCUAGCCGUCUUUAGUUCCCUGAAUUUUUAAUUCAUUAGCAAAUUGCUCACUAUGCCAAUUCCAGAUAGGCAGAUUAAAAAAGUGAUUCAUCAGACUGGAGUUGAUAAGAAUGGAAUAGGUGACUUACACUGAGCUACUGAGACACUCGAGGAGCCUGAAAUAGCUAAGUAUCAAAGAAAACUCAUACUCAAAGGCAAUCGUUAAAACAAAACAACCAAAAACAUGAAAACCUGAAGCUGUUGAGAUAUUUGUAAAGCUUAAAAGGCACCUGAAGAUUCUUUGGUUUCCCCAACAGACUGAGGGUCCAGACUGUAAGCUGCCAGCUCUCAGUCCCAGCACCCUACAUCCUAGCGCUAAAACAAGUUUUCCAGUCCCUACGAUGCUCAUCAGUAGACAACAUGGAACAUCUAAAGCCAUUCCUAAGUGCGUGUGCUUUAGAAAGCACUCCACUAACAAACAUAAACAUUAAAGGACAGUCUUGAGUGAUACUGUAUGAUGUCAGUGUAUGUACCAUGCAGCAAAGCAAUUCUAAAAAUGCUGAAAUGUUGGCAAAAUAAAAAAGGAUAUUUAGAAAAUACUUCCAAGUUAAAGCCAAUUAUAUUCUUUGUGAGAAAAGCUUCAUUAAAUCCACAGUUUAUAACAGAUUGAAGAUUUCUUAAAAUGCUAAUGUAUUCAUAUUUGCUGGGUUUUUCAAGAAUGGCAAGUGCUUCAGAAAACAUCUUUUUGGUACACACACCCCUACUGAGUAAGAUCCACCUGGUUUGGAAAUCUACUUCAGGGUCCCAUAAGCACUGAGAUCUCUCCAAGGACAGAGGUGACAGACGGAGGGAGGCACAGAGUCACUGACCUCCAUCCAUGUGUUUCAGUGCCUUCUCUGCUUCAUCCGGAUUCUCGAAUUCCACGUACGCAUAGCCUUUGGAUAGAUGAGGAUGCAUCCUUUCCACAGGCAUGUCAAUCAUUUUAAUUUUCCCGUAAGUAGAAAAUAUUUCCAUGAUAUGAUCCUAGAGAGAGAAAGGUUAUACCCCUGUUUGCCAAUCCAUAACUUAAGGGUCAAAGGGAAUUCACUAAACACCAAGCGAAUCUUGGUUAGUGUAAAAACAUUCUGCCACCCGAUGAUGUCACCAGGGUCAAAUUUCUUAGAUAUAAGUCUAAUAAACAAGGCCAGUUAUUUACUAAAUAAUAAACGUAGCAGCACUAAUCAAAUCACGGACUGCACAUACAUCAUUCUCCAAAAGGACUACAUUCAGGUGCAUCUGCUGCCUGACACCAGCGUGUCCAGCCACACCCCCACCCCCUCUACGGAUCUGUGCUUCUUACCUUGGUCACAUUCCUGGUGAGCCUCCCAAUGUGCACUUUGGUGGGUUUAGGUGAAGGGCUCCGCCUUUUCCUCUCUUUUUCAUCUCUUUUAGGUGGUUUGGAUCUGAAAAAAAAAAAAAAAAAACAAAAACACCCAGAAAUUCUCAACAUAUCCCAAGCACAGUGGGUUUGGGGAUGGAGCUAAGGGUAAAGUCCCAGACUUGGCCCUCAGCAUUGGAAAAGAAAAAUAUUAGCUGUGAGUGUAUUGGUUGGUAUAUGCCCAACAGCCCAGUACCAAUGAGGCCAAGGCAGGAGGAAUAGGAGUUUGAGCCAAGCUGCACUGCUAAUGAGACCCUGCUUCAGCAACACACAGUGAGGUUCCUUCUCGGCUUCAACAGCCUCUAGAAGAGCUUCUUACCAGUUCACCUAUAUCAUCUACGGUUUGACUGAAAAUGGUCCCAUAAGCUCAUGUAUUUGCUUAGCUAUCAUGAAGGGGCACCAUUUGAAAAUCUUGUUGGAAGAAGUGUGUCACUGGAGGUGAGCUUAGGUUUCAAAAGCCCAGGGCAGGUCCAGUUUCUCGAUUUUCCUGCCACCUUUGGAUGUGGAUGUGCAACACAACGUCUGCCUGUGUGCCACCAUGCUGACAAUGGACUAAACCUCUGAACUCUAAGCCAGCCCCAAUUAAAUGUUUGCCUUUGCAAGAAUUGCCUUGGUCACCGUGUCUCUCCACAGCAACAGAACACUGACUAAGACUAUCCCUGGUUCAGAAACCAAACUGAGACCCCUUCAAAUAUGUGUGUCUGCUUUACUUUUCCUCUGUGUGGGUAUGAACCACAGUAACGCACAGGAAGUCUGAGAGUAACUUGUGGGAGAUGCCCUUCUCAGCAGUGUAUUCCAGGGAUGGGCACUCUGGUCGAUAGGCUUGGCAGCGAGCACCCGCACUGACUCACACAUCCUGCCCACCCUCUAACUCCCCUAUUCACUGCCUUUCAUGACUUUUUGAGACAGCCUCACACGUAGCCCACCACGACCUCAAACGUCUGACCAUCUUGCUACAAAUACUGCAUGUACCACUGCACUUCACUUUGACACAGACACACACAAACCACUUGUGUGUUACUGUGCAUAUGUGGAGGUCAGAGGACAACCCUCGGCUAUUAUCUCAUGCCACCAUGUGGGUCCUGGGGAUUGAACUCAGGCUGUUAAUCUCAGCAGCAGAGACCUUCAUCUGUGUUUCUGGUAAGUAUGGUAACGAGCAGGCACCGUUCUGGACUCACUUGGAGCGGGAACGCCGCCUGUUGUCAUGUCUGCGCCGAGAAGGGCUUGGGGAGCCGGAGGAGCUGCUGGAACUGGAGCUCCGGGAUGUGCUGGAGCUUCCUGAGCGGCUGGACGCAGAAGACGAGCUAGAGCCACUGCUCGAGCCCGUGCUGGUGCUGGAGCCCGAGCUGGAGGUUGAGCUGGACCUGGACCUGAGGACGAGAUGGGGGCGUCACAUGGUCAACGAGCAAGUCACAUCUCUGCACAGCAGGCUGACUGCUCAGCAGAGGAUACAGGUUUCCAACUAUCCCCCCAAAAGGAGGGUGGGGGGAGCUGGAGAGAUGGCUCGGCGGUUAAGAGCACUGGCUGCUCUUCCAGAGGUCCUGCGUUCAAUUCCUGCAAAUACAAGGUGGCUCACAACCAUCUGUAGUGGGAUCAGAUGCCCUUUUCUGGUGUCUGAAGACAGCGACGGUGUACUCACAUACAUUAAAUAAUACUUAAAAAAAAAAAAAAGCUCUAGGGGCUGAAGAAAUGGCUCAGCAGGUUAGAGCAACCAGGUUUGAUUUCUAGCACCCACAUGGCAGCUCACAACUGCCUACGACUCCUGUUUCAGGGGACCCGAUGCACCUUUCUGGCCUCUGUGGACACCAGGUAUACAUGUGUAGACACAGGCAAAACUCAUAAAAAAAAAAAAAAAAAAGGCUCUACACGAAAGCUGCUCAAUCUCAACUCAGAAUGCAUACAUACUUGCAAGAGAAACAACUCAUACAUUACCAAACAUCACACUUCUUAGUAUCAUAGAAGAGUUCACAUCCAUAAACAAGAAGACCAGGUAACAUAUAAUGAAAUGAAACUCAAAAUCAGCACACGAUGUUAGGGCCUUAUCAACAUCCCACCCCAGGGUCUGACUGUUUUCAAAGUAUUUAAGAUCAGGUAGUCUUCCCUGGGGCUACCAGCCCACUUCAACUGGCAACUGCAGGUACCAAUGAAACCCUGUAUCAAAGCAAGGUGGACAGCUCUUAGGGAGCCACAGCUGUUGUACAGGAUUGUUGUCCCAGCAAAGUUGCUGUCAUUCUUGGUUCAACUGGGCUUGUCUCUCUUGGAAGGGACAGGUUCAAGGGAUCCUCACUUGAGUAUCCAGCCACCCCUCAUAACCAGCUGCAAUUCUGCCCUAAUUUUACAGGUCCCCAGGUCUCAGGCAAAGGUUUUACAUAAGGGACUGUGAGGAGAAGGAACACAAGCACAGGGCAGUUACCAUCCACACUCCCACCACCUCAUCUACUGCACUGGAAGCCUAACAAAGUCUCCCUGAUUCCCUAGAGUGAACUCUGAUGAACUGGACCUAGGUGUGUUUGUGGGAACACAGGAAGGGCAGAUGCUCUUCACAUCUCCCCAAAGGAAGGAACUGAACACCCAAGGCUGAUCUCUGGCCUCCAUAACAAACUCGUGUCACCCCUCCCCCCAAAGAAAAGUCCUUAGAAGGCUUCACAGUGAAGGAGGACAUGGUUCCCUCUGCCCUACCUGGUGCUGCUGCUUCCGCUUGAAGCACUGCGUCUCUUCCGGGUCUUAUCUCUGCCACGAUCCUUCUCACUGGACUCUUUAGUGGUCCCUUUAUCUUUAGAUCGAUCCUUGGACUUCUCAUCAGAGCGGUCCUUUCGUUUGGUAGGAGAAGGAGCCCUGCAUGGUAAGAAAGAAUGUAAGGUGCAAGCUCCCCCAAUCAAUCCCUGAGACAGCACAACCCAGGAGUGGGGUCCAAAAGGACUAAGACCCCCAAGUGAUCACAGAGCAAAAUUAUCUGUGAAUUAGGACACUCACUGAAGAACAACAAAAAAACUCCCCUUUCCGAGGGUCCUUAAAUAGCAAGCACCCCCAAAUAGCACUAGAAAAAUCUUACAGAGGAUUACCUAGUGCUGGACUUUUUAUUAUUCUCUUUGACUCCUAGCAAGCUCUUCUUUUUCACUCCUGAUAAAUCCAUUCUCCCCUUCUUCAAGGCAGCAAUGUCGGCCUCACUUAUCUGAACUCUCACUUCUAACUUGAGUCUGAGAAACGAUCCCUAAUCGAUUGCAAUUUACGCCAAAGAGCAGCCUAGUAACAAGAUAAAAGGAUUUAAAUAGAGUAAACGAAUUGACAAAGCAUCAAAUCGACUUUGCAUCAAAAGGUUGAGCACACAAGAAGGAAGCAUAGCAAACAGCAAGUGUCCACACGGCCUGCACACUGAGGGGACGGUCUUCAUUUCCUCAUGAAGGCCUUUCCUACCCCCACAAGAGGUCACCUUAGUUUUUUUCUUUUAAUUGGAAAAAGAAAUGCAGAAUGCAUUACCGGUCUAAGGCACAAGCAUAUUAAGACUCUUCCUUGUUUUCCUUAAUGAGAUGGAAGAGGUAGCUGUUAUCUAUCAUUGGUUUUAGGGCCAGUCCCACACUAGAGCUCACUAAGUGUGAGGACGAGCCACCUGUAGAUGGCUUUCAAAUAUUACACGCCACAAGAGUUUCAGAGGAGAAAAACCCAUAUUUGUCUUAUUGGCAUAGUGUUCUCUAGAGAUACAACGAGUAAUAUUAGAUGUCACUUAUUAGAGUAACAAGUACCAAAACAUUAUUCAACACAAUGUACAAAACACCACUGAAGAGCAAUAAAAGUGGGAGUGGUAGCACACGCCUUUAAUCACAGCACUUGGGAAACAGGCGGGCUGAUUUUAGAGCUAGUUCCAGGACAGCCAAAGUGACACAAAGGACCCCAGUCUGGAAGAAAAAAAAGAAAAGCAAGAAAAAGAAAGACUGUCAGGUAGGUAAUCUGUAAACAAAUAUGGGGAAGAUGUGACUUGUUGGAUCUAGGCAUCAGCCACAUAGGCAUAACUGUUAACAUUUUUGGAAUGGGUUGAGAUCUUCUAGACAGGGUUUGGCAAUAAUGCUAAGUAACAGUAAGUUCUGGAAUGGAGACCUCUAAUUCUCCCUGUGCCUUCUUCUCCGGGAGCAAAACACAAAAAGGCCCCAGGACACACCUUAACUCUUCUUUCUCACGUUCCUCAACUGUAAGGAGAGAAUACACCAUUUCAGGCAGAGCACUUCUAAAUGCUGCUGAGUUAAGCCUAGCCCAAGAGAACAGCUCCCCUCCCCUGCUUUGACAAAUGGUUACCUGUCUAGCCUCUCUCUAGGGCUAUGACAUCUUUUCCCGUUCUUAUCAUCUGGAACAAGCAAGCAUGCCUGUGUUUCAGGUUUCACUAGGGCCACCUUGGUCGUGGCAUUCAUACAUUUUUUUUUUUUUUUAAAGACAGGAUCUCCUUAUUGUGUAGUUCUGGCUGUCCUAGAACUCAGAGAUCUCCCACUUUAACUUCCCAAAUGCUGGGAUUAAAACUGUGUGCUAUGACACCCUGCUGGGAUAUAUUCUUACAAUGUUGUCUUUUUUAUGUAGCUCUUGCUGUCCUGGAACAGAGUCCUCUCCUGAGUAUUAAACACAAGGUCUCUAGCCCAGGCUGGCUUCAAAUGUUCUAUGUGGGAUGACCUGAAUCUCCUGCCUCCACCUGGGUUAUAGGUUUUCUACAUGGGGCUGAAACCGGGGCUUCGUGUCUAACCCGCAAAAGCACACUACCAAGGAAGUAUUCCUAGAGCCUCACCUUUCCUGACAAGUGGUUCCCAAAAACCUUGCUUGGCUAAGUUAACCUAUCAAUCCUGGCAAGGCACCCAGCCAAAAGCUCAGUGAUAAAAUGAUAUUUGAUUUCCGAAGCUUAAUAAACUAUGUUAUAGUUAAGCUCAGUAUUGUCCAUGAGUGUGAACCAUGAGCACAUCCUUAAAUUUCCUCUCAGCCAAAUCACAAAAACUGUGAAACCUUCCCCACUGGUGCCCCCCAACAACUCUAAUGAGGCUAAGGCCAGCCUAGUCUAUAGAGCUGGUUCCAGGACUGGCAAGGCUACAGAGUAACCCAGAGUCCAAUGCACUCAAGAAGGACUCUACCACUGACAUAUACAUUGACAGUACAAAAUGAAAGGUUCUGUUUGUUUGUUUGUUUUUUUCUCUUGAGACAUGGUCUCACUAGGCAGCCCUGGCUAACCUAGGUUGAUCAAGCUGGCCUCAAACGCAAACUUGCCACCCGAGUGCUGGGAUUAAAGGCAGUGUGUGGGUCCCAGAAUCCCUUUUUAAAAGAUAAUGAGUAAUACAACCAAUACAAAGUUACUAAAGUUUUUGUGGGUUUUCUAUACUAAGUCAUUUAAAUCUGGCCCGUACUUUUACAUUUCAGUUUGGGUUGCUAUCCAAGUGCUUCAUACCAGUGGCAAAAAGUAGAGAUUACCCUUGUGCACCCCCAGCCCAACCUGCCGGAACGUCCUUUAUGAAACAAGCAGAACCCACAAAUUAUAAACCAUGGGGUCUACAAAUUAUGAACCAUGGAAUAAGCGAACACUUUGAUGGGUGUGGUCGAAUGCUAGAAAGGGUUUCUGUUCACACAAGCUCAGGACCUCGGUCACCUCUCCCAUCCUCCGGAAAGGUGUGCGUCCAACAGCCAGAGAGAGGAGAAAACAAAUAGUUAAAUCUCGAGCAGAGGGCGUUUUGGCAACCUUCAAAGCACUCUCUACAUAUAAAAUGCACAUUUGAGACACAGUGCCUACGAAGUAACACAAGGUAGAGAAAGCAAGCCUACACCACAUCUCUCUACCAUCAACCAUAACCUUCCCCCAUUCUCUCCCUCUGAGCUCCACAACCGUGCUCAGUCCGCCCUAGGACGGAUCCACAGGCCCAGAACUAAGAACCGCACAUUGGGAUCCGACAAACACUCGUGGAAAGAGAUCUAAAAGGAAACCAACCUUUUAGGCCGGCUCGCAAUCUGCACGGUCCGCUCCGGUCACAUACAUCGACCUCGCCUCCCACCCUCUUUCUCCACUCACUACUCAGGUCGGGCCUGGCGUGGCGAGCCUAGGUCUCCAGCCUGACGAGAAAACAAGAGAAGCGGCGGCGCACACAGCUGCUGGAGUCCUGCAGGCUACUGGUCGCGGCCGAGCAAACGAUGAGGGAUCACCCUUCCGUCUGCGACCGCCUCGACCACUUCCGGGCCGCGGCCUCGACGCCUCCCACUCCGCCCGACCUGAACCUCACUCUCUUCGGGCUCUGCGCCUCGCUGGCGGGUCUCUGCCUCACUGCGGAGCUGCGGAACGCAACCGGCUCCACGAUGCGUCCCACCAAGCCUGGCAGAAGGUCCCCAAAUGUCGGAUGCGGCCGGAUUCCUACCCCGACUUACAUCUUCCCAAGGCCGCCACCUCCUCCCGCUCUUCUCAGACCCGGACGCUGGCGCAACUCUGUCGUCAGAGUUGAGAAGCGGGAAAGCGCAGCCGUCGUCGCACAGCGAUGACGGAAGCAACCCGACCAAUGUACGCUAGCCGAGGAGGAGCAAAGGUCGGCAACUGUUCCCGCCCCCACUUCUGACUGGAGGCCAGUCUAAGCUUGCCUAGGGUUGUUUUUCUCUUUUUGGAGCGGGCGUGUGUUUUGCUGACCCGCACGGGAGGUUUGUGCUCCUCGGCGCCUAUGGGUUUUGUGUGAUGGAGUUACUCGGGUUGCCUCCUCUAUUACCUCUGAUGUUCCUAGGGUCUAAGGCUAUGCGCCCUGAUAAGGCCGCGCUGUUGUAAAGGGACAGGCUGGUACGGAUGGUGAGUACUGUCAAAACUCUGGUAGUUAGUGGUGAUCGUGUGGACAUUGUAUCUGGGCUGGUGGGAUUCAGCUGACUAGGUGCGGCGGGAGGCCGGUGAAAGGAGAAAGAAAAGGAGUUUGAGGAAAUGUUGAAGACAAGGUGCAGUAGGAGAGGUUUCUCAAGGGCGACAUUUCUGACAAAGGUGUGGGGCAGAAGGAACAGCAAAAGCUCGCAGGGAGAAGAGGGACGCUAGUCUGGACGGGGGUCACCUCCAGGACCUUCAUUGCAAGGACAUGGAGGUCCGGGUCUUUGCACAAGGCUGAAGAGUAGCGCCAGCCAUUGUGCCCCCGCCUCCCAACUUUGCCUAGCACAUUUCUUGCUCUGUGAUUAUUUGCGGAAGAAGUGGAUAUGCAUACAGUCUCUGCGGUUAUCUAAGUAGAUUUGAGGCAGGCAGGAAGAAAGAGGAACAGAUCUAAGGAGGGCUUCAGGAGGAAGGAACAAAGAUGACUUAGAUUUGGAUUACAUAUUGCUGUGAAAGAUAGGAAAAAGCCAAAGUGCAACUGAGUGACCCCGUAGACAUGGAGAGAGGAGGUAGGAUCCAAGGAGCUCGGCACAGGACAGCCACACUGCUCUCCUGAGGCGCCAGUUCAUUUUUGGGGGUGGGGUUAGCAGAUCUAGAUAGACAGUUUGAUAUGGUUCCCUGGUUGGAUUUAAGAUGAUUUGAUGUAUAGGAUAUCUAGGAUAUUCGAUUUUCCUGCAUUGCUGUCUUGUCUGCUGUGGUCAGACAUGAGCAGUGAGUGGAUGUUAGCGGUUCUCUGGAGGGACAGAACUCAUAGAAUGAAAACAAACAAAUAAUGAUGUUCUCUGACUUAUGAAGCUCAGUCAGGGUUGUUCACACUAGAAAGGUUGAGAAUCAGUAGGUUUCUAAGAAACUAGAUUCCUUUGUAGUCUGGUGCAGAAAUCAUAGAGGACUCCUGGUCUUUAGCACUAGCUGGAAGGCUGAAGAAGCUGGGGUCUGAUGCCAGUGAAAAAUGGCAGCAAAAAGGUAGCAGAACUUGGGAGAGAGAAGCAACAAAAGCAAAUCUCGGACCUCCUACGCAGACACUGGAGGGUGCUGUUCAAGUUUAGGUUGGUUUUUCCCAAUUAACAUAAUCACAAAACUCCCUCACAGGUGUGCCCAAAGGCGUGCCUCUUGGUUACUUCUAAAUUCAAUCUAGUUGACAGCCGAGAUUAUCCUUCUCAGUGAUCAGAGGUUCAGAGUUCCAGGGGCUUCAGUCAGUUCUUGGAGAGAAAGGGCCUGUGAGGCUCUGUGAUGAGGUGGUAAUGGUCACACAGGCAGCAUGUACAAUUCUCUGAAGAUUUAGUGGAGUCUGUGAUUAGAGAAGAUAAUAGAGUUUUUUUGUCUAGGGCAGCACGGACACCCUAGAAACCUAGUGACCCCACAUGGCUGGUAGGGUGAGGACAGAAGAAGUUGGGCUAAUGGCCCUUCCCCUGCUUCCCCCCUAAUGUUCAAAGUAAUUUAAUUUGGCGUGCAUGUAAGCUUUAAGUAUGAUUUACUCAGAUGUGUUGAUAAAAUUUGUUGCUAAAUACGGGCUUUGUAAUCCAGUGUACUAGGCAGCUGCUAAGCUCUGAAAGCAUCACCAUUGAGGAUUAGCAGGAAGAGUGUGAGCACUCAAUCUCUGGAUCGAUCCUUCCUUCCUUCCUUCCUUCCUUCCUUCCUUCCUUCCUUCCUUCCUUCCUUCGAGUCCAAGCAUCCUUAUCCCAGCCUGUUGCUAACCUACUGAGGCCAAGAUGCUAAGGGCCACCCAGCUAGGAUUUCCAGAGACCCAAAGCACCUGUGUGGCUCUGGUCUGUUGGAAGAAACACGAGUAGCUGGCCACAACUGAGAGGUGAAGUGAGCCUUGGCAAGGAUUCUAAGCUCCCUUCCUUCCUUUCUCAAGGUUGAAAGCCAGCCUGGUCCACAGAGUGAGUUCCAGAUAGCCACGGCUGUCUCAAAAAACAAAAUGGGACUGGAGAGAUGGCUUAGCAGUUAAGAGCACUGGCUGCUCUUCCAGAGGUCCUGAGUUCAGUUCCCAACAGCCACAUGGUGGCUCACAACCAUCUGUCAUGGCAUGUCCUCUUCUGGUCUGAAGACAGCUACACUGUGCUCAUGUACAUAAAAUAAAUAAAUAAAUAAUCCUUAAAAUAAAAACAAAAAACAAAAAAAAAACCAGCAAAAAAGAUAACAACAAAACGUGGGGCUCAUCCUGUCCCUGCUUUCCAAGUGGUGGGAUGGGAUUACAGAUGUGUAUCAUGAUACCUGGCAGCCUUUUCCUUUGAAACCUAGAAAGGCAGUGAGUGGGCUUGGCUAUAGUUUGGCCCACAUAGGGCUUCCCCACUCCUAUAUCCUCAACAGGAAGUUCUGAAGACAGUGUUUCAGUUGGACCACUUUUUUGGGCAUAUAGGACUAAAGAAGAAACAGAGUAGCUGUCCUACACGACUUGCUCUUGGACCCAUGGUAACUGGGUCAGGUCAUGGGGAACAAAGGAAACAGCCUUGAGUCCCAGGGAAGAACUAGGCAGCCAGCACUGGUUGCUCUUCCAGAGGACCUGAGUUCAAUUCCCAGCAACUACAUAGUGGCUCACAACCAUCUAUAAGGGGAUCUGGUGCCCUCUUCUGGCACACAGGUGUGCAUACAGAUAGAACACUCAUAAAUUUUUUUUUUAAUGCCAUAAUACAUAAUAGAGAGACCCUGUCUCAAAACAAUACACACUACCACCACCACCACCACCACCACCACCACCACCACCACCACCAAAAAAUUAAAAAAAGAAAGAAAAAGAAACAAGGGCUGAGUGGUGGUGGCUCACAUCUUAAUCCCAGCACUUGGGAAGCAGAAGCAGGUGGAUCUCUGUCUGUCUGUCUGUUUUUGAGACAAGGUUCUCUGGGUAUCCCUGGGUGUCCUGGAGCUCAUAUAGAGCUUUCCUGGCUCUGCCUCCUGAGUGUGCACCACCAUAUCCAGCUUUGAAGACUUUUUAAAGGUAUGAGUGCUAUGGAAACUCUUUGAAGUUCCUAUAAAUGUUUCAAAAACUGGCUAAAAAUAUUGUUGCUUAAUGUGGUAGCCCAUGCUUUUAAUCCAGUAUUUGGGAGGCAGAAACAGGGAGAUCUCUGAGUUUGAAGGUAGCCUAGCCUCAGAAAGUUCCAGGCUAAUCAGGGCUACAUAGUGAGAUCUUAUCUCAAAAAAAUAGAGGACCUGGAAUGGUGACUCAGUGGUUAAGAACAUUUAUGCACACAAUGAAUCUCAUGUGGGCAAAACUCAUGCACAUAAAUACUGAAAAAAUUAAAACAAGCUGUCUCAAAGUGAUGAGACAGCAUAGUUAAUCUCAAUUGUCUACAUGAUGAGAUUUAGAAUCACCUAGGAGAUGGGUGAUUAUCCAUCUGUGGAGGAUUAUCUUAAUUAGGUUAACUGAGGUGGGAAGGCCUAACCAUUGGGGUGGCCCCAUUUCCUAAGGUUGAUAUCUGCCCCCUAGCAUAGUAUAUUCUAGAGAACUCAGGGUUCUCUAGAGUCACAGAACUUAUGGAAUGUCUUUAUACAUUAAGGCAAUGUAUUGUAAUAACUUACGUUUGAAGUUUGACUAACCUAACAAUGGGCCACUGUGAGUGGGAAGAAUCUAAUAGUUGCUCAGUCCCGUGAUGCUAGUUGUCUCAGCUGGUCUUCUGUAGAAGCUGGAAUCCUGAAGUGGGUUCCAACAGAAGAGUGAGUCUUCAUUCUUCUAAUGUCCAACAGAAGGCCCAGGAUCUGGAACUUGCUUUGUCCCAGGCUGACCUUCAACCCAGAGAUCUGCUUGCCUCAGUGUCUGGGGAUUAAAGGCGUGUGCUACCUUGCCUGGGCAUGAGCUCUUCGUGGCCACUAUGCCUCAAGAUCUCCAGGUCAAGAUCCAGGUCAGAAACCUGUGGCCUUAAGAUCUGGACACAGGUAUGGCCUACAUUUCUGGAUUGUAGUUAUUCCAGAUGUACUCAAGCUGAUGACCAGGAACAGCCAUCACACAUAGCUGAAGCCAUUUUCUUCCCUGCCCGCCAGCUAUUUCAUAUUGUUGCUGUAAUCUGCCUGCCAAUCAUUGGUGCAGAAAAAUACCUUGACUCAGAGCAGGGUCAUGCUGACCACACACCCUGCUGUUCUGAGGUUUGUUAAUCUUAAGAAAUUCGACAACCGUAAACUUCACUUAGGAUCCAUCAAAUUAAAGGUCGGUUUGAACCAUUCUGUCUAAACUGUGACUCAGGGCCCACCACCAGGCAGUGCACUUCUGCACCUGUGUAUUAGCUCAUUGUGGUUUUGCCUGUAUAAGCUGCCCUGAGAAAGGACAGGCCCACAGCUUUCAGCUGGUCGAUCAAUCUUUAGGUGUGUCUUUAAUAAACCAUCCCUGUCUGACUGAGA